rnacentral:lncRNA from 1 species
AUGACAAUACCAGACACUUUAAAACAAUCCGUCAAACUAAGCUGGAAGACAAACAUAACUUCAUGUCCUGAAAAACUUUAUGUUCUGGGUCAGCCAACAGCCAUCACUACUAAUGGUUCCCUGACUGCAGUAGUUUUCCAACUGGUCAUUAUAUCUCAAUCUAGAUACAGGCCAAAUGUGUAAAAAGUAAGAGAUAGCAGUAAGAUGGUUGUAUUAGCUAUUGUUUGUAAUAACUGUUCACUUAAGAAGCUCAACACACUGUCCAUCUAUACUAUUCCUUCCAGUAACUCCAAAUGGUAGAUUCUCUUAUCUCCUCUUUGCUCUAGUUUUCUCAUCUAAAAAAAAAUCUAAGAGUUCCUGCUGUGGCACAACAGGAUCUGUGGCAUCUCUGCAGGGCCAGGACAUAGCUUCGAUCCCUGGCCCAGCACAGUGGGCUAAGGGAUCCAGCAUUACUACAGCUGUGGCCUGGUUAGCAGCUGAGCUGGGCACUGAGAGAAAUUGCCCAUCUCUCAAUUCAUUAUUUCUUUCAUCCUGACAAGCCUGGGGUAGGUAUCAUUAUGAUUAUCUCUGUUAUUCAGACAAGAAAAUGAGUGGGGGAGACCACACACCUUGCUUAAGAGCAUGCAGCUAGUUAAGUUACAGAAAGGACCUGAACUCAGGUCUGAGAGAACCCACAGAUAAAACCAGUUUGUUUGCCUUGGAAGGGUUCUGGAGAAAAAAUCCUUAACACAGUCUGGAUGACAGAAACCAUGGCAAAGGAGAUGCCACAUCAAAUGCAGAUUUGAAUUGCUGAAAAAGAAAGCUGUUGAUGAAAUCACCCAAAUCCCAGGAACCCUACUCUCAAGGUGAGCAGCCUGGCAGUAUGAAUACCCCGUGGUCGGCACCUUUCCCAAAAACAGAGGGUUGGCACCUGGGACAGGCCUCAAUCUCAAAGGAACACACAAUGGGUACUGAUGCUGCCCUUUGAGGGAAUUUUAUCAGCCUGACUAGAAUGAAAUAAGCCUUUUCUGAGUCGACAUGGACCUUUGUCUCCGGCUGGUUUGACUGCUUUCCUUCAUGAAAAGCUUCCACUUAUUGAAUACUUACUAACUGCCAGUCACUGUACUAGCACUGUAUAUGUUAUCUCAGUUAAUCCUCAAGACAGCUUAAGGAGAGAGAUUUCCUUAUUAUGCCCUGGGUUUAUCUUUCAGUCCCCACACCUGCUUUUCUAAAAUUUUUCAAAAGUUAUAGAGGAAACUUUAAAAAUCCCAUUGCCUGUGUGGGCUGAGCACAUAGACUGUUGCUCUCAGACUCCCAGAUGACUGGGGCUCUUGAAAAGGGUUCAGUGAGCAGAGGCUGGUAGAAAAAAAUAACUGGCUAAGUAGCAGCACUUAAGCCAGACUCUUCUCUUGACUAGUAUCUAAGCUGAGAGUUGUUUUCACUGAACAAAAUCACUUGGGAACACUUGAAAAUGGAAUUUGGUCAAUCUUGGUCGGGGCAUGGCUCCCAUCCCAACUCUUCCUGAGGUAGCCUGAUCUGUUUUCAGAAUGCAGUAAGGACUAAGGGGUCAUGAGCCCUCAUUUAAAUGUUACUUCAGUCAAUGAAACCUUCUCACCUCACUCAUCCUCUUAUCUUCAAUUCCUCACCUGUGAAAUGGGAUUAUUAUAGUCAUGGUGGCAGAUAUGUGUCUGAGUGCUUAUCAUGUGCCAGAUACUUUUCUAAGUUCUUUACAUCUAUUAUCUCAUUUAAAUGUCACAACGAUCUGAUGAAGAAGGAACUAUUAUUUCCCUGCUUUAUAAAUGAAAGAAUGGAGGGAAUGGUGAUGAACAAACUUACUAAGUUCACACAGUCAAAGAGUUAUAGUCUUGGGGGAGUUCCUGCUGUGACACAGUGGGUUAAGGAUCCAGCUAGGCUCUGUGGGUUAAGGAUCCUGCAUUGCUACAGCUGUGGCUUAGGGUUGCAGUUGUGGCUUGGAUUUGAUCCCUGGCCAAGAGCUUCCAUAUGCCAUGGGUGUGGCAAAAAAUAUAUAGUUAUAGCAUUAGGAUUCAAAACCCAAUGUACUGAACCCAAAGUUUACCUCAUUUCCCUUAACCCUGGGCCCACCAACCUGGGUGUCCACCACAAUCACCUGGACAACUGGUGUUGACCAGCUGUUUACUGACCAACCCAGGGCUCUGUACCCAGGGUCAGUGUUGCAAAUGUGAUGAUCGAAAUGGAGUUGAGAGUUUGCAACUAAGGACAGCAGUUUAUAUAGAAAUAAAUACAUAAUUUUUGAAUGAACUCAAUUCAAAAAGUAGACGAGUUAGUAUUUAAAGCUGUGGUUUGCCCAGUACACAAGAUGACCUAAAUGUGUUUCUCUGACUUACCAGUAAACUUGGGCUGAAAUAUAUAUUCACAAAUCUGCUGGUCUGGAAUAUUUCAUAUUGAAGUAGUAAAUUUGGCUUGUGCCCAGUGGCCUCAUAUGCAGAGCAGACUUAUUUUUGCCUUGAGGAAGAAAUAUGACUUUUGACACUAAGCUUCACUGCUAAUAACUGGGAUAUUCAUCUCAUUCUACUGAGAUAGCCUUUCAACUGAGAUAGGGCUAGGGACAUAUCAUGUGUGAAUUAUGAGGAUCUAUGUGCAUUUCUAUAAAGACCUCCUUCUCAUGUCAUCUCACUUGCAAACUAGAGAACAGAUUUCCAGCAAGAACACUUCCUAUAGCCAUGAACCACACUGACAUUAUUAGGGGCUCUUGUGCACUGAGUGCUUACUCUGUGUUAGUCAUUGUCUUAAGCACUUUAUGUCUCAUCUAAUCCUAACUACAGCCAUAAGAGUCAGUUACUGUAA